UCUCGUGCUGUGACCCUCUAGAGGGAAGCACUUUCUGUUGUCUGAAAGGAAAGAACGUGCAUCCUUUCAGAGGGUUACUCUUUGAGA
rfam:Nomascus leucogenys chromosome 10, whole genome shotgun sequence.